UCAGACUUCCCCUUGGCCUCUUUGAGCUUCUGAUAUCCUUAAACCAACAGCCCGAGAAAGGGAUAACCGUGUUUGGAGCGUUGAUGGAUCCAGAUUACCAAGGGGAAAUUGGGUUGCUCCUCCACAAUGGAGGUCGCUCACUCCUCGCAGCCUGGAAGGCCCCGAUGGUCCAGAUGGUGGGUUUCUCUGCGGGAGAUUUCACAGCUGAAGAACCAGUUAUAAGAAGAAAGAUAACUUAGUGCUCUCGACCCCCAUAGCCCCACACCCUUCACCUUUAGGAGCUGGGAGAACCAGAACAGGAAAAGGAUAGCUUAGGGUCCUUGCUACCCCGGAUUUCAUUCAGAGAAAAAGCACCCAGUGGACAGGGCAGUCUUGGAAUUCCAAAGUGAGCUAGAGAUCAUAUCAAAAAAAUAAAAACCAAAAAACCCGAAAAACAAACAAACAAAAAACAGUAUUAUAAAUAACGAGAG